CCCGCUGAACUUAAGCAUAUCAGUAAGCGGAGGAAAAGAAACUAACCAGGAUUCCCCUAGUAACGGCGAGUGAAGCGGGAAGAGCUCAAAUUUAAAAUCUGGGAGCCUUGGGUGGCUCCCCGAAUUGUAGUUUGAAGUGGCGUGUUCUGUGGCGGUAGCCUGGCGGGUCCAAGUCCCUUGGAACAGGGCGUCAGAGAGGGUGAUAACCCCGUGUCGUGGCCCGCUCCGCUUGCCGCCGCUGUAUGACGCGCCCACAAAGAGUCGGGUUGCUUGGGAAUGCAGCCCAAAAUGGGUGGUAAACCUCAUCUAAGGCUAAAUAACGGCGAGAGACCGAUAGCGAACAAGUACCGUGAGGGAAAGAUGAAAAGAACUUUGAAAAGAGAGUUAAAAAGUACGUGAAAUUGUUAAAAGGGAAACGCUUGAAAGCCAGUGACCGAAAGGAUGCUGCCGCCGGGGAAUCAGCUGGUGGGGGUCGCAACGCCCCUCGCCGGUGCACUUCCCCGGUGUGCGAGGCCAACGUCAGCUUUUUUUAAGCCGGCUGGAGAAGGGGGCCUGGGAAGGUGAGUCAGGUUGAGGCACUCGUGCCUUGCCAGACUGUUAUAGCCCGGGUCUCACAAACACAGGCCGGGAAGGCUGAGGAAAUUUACGGCGCCUCUUUUUUGGGGGCCCCUGCCCCUGGCUGGCCUGGCCCUGCUGUGCUGGUAGAUCCCCUCGGGGGUCUGGCAGACGGUGGGGUCAUGGCUGGCCAGUGAGUGGGUGGGGUGCCUCACACUUCAGGAGGCCCGGAUGUUGGCGCAAAUGGUUUCAAUCGACCCGUCUUGAAACACGG
rnacentral:rRNA from 1 species